UACGUAGGGACCGAGCGUUGUCCGGAAUCAUUGGGCGUAAAGAGCGUGUAGGCGGCUUGUUAAGUCUUGCGCGAAAUCUCGGGGCUCAACCCCGAGCGGUCGUGAGAAACUGGCAGGCUAGAGUGCGGGAGAGGAGAGUGGAAUUCCUGGUGUAGCGGUGAAAUGCGCAGAUAUCAGGAAGAACACCCGUGGCGAAGGCGGCUCUCUGGAACGCAACUGACGCUGAGACGCGAAAGCGUGGGGAGCAAACAGG
rnacentral:rRNA from 1 species